rnacentral:ncRNA from 5 species
CGGCGGGAGUAACUAUGACUCUCUUA